GCAUAUAGCAUGUGUAUAUAUUAAAUAGGCCUAUAUCAUGCAUAUCUUUUUUUAAUUCCCUUUAAGGAUCUUUCCUGCAAUUAACCAUUUGCUCCAUUUGUUGCACAUUGAAACGGUGCGGCUGCCCGGAGGAAGUCGGGAGCUGAGAUCUCAAGCUACAGUAACGGUCGUGAUGAAACCACUGUUCUGUGCCUUUAUCAUCCUGCUGGUAUGCUGCAUUGUCAUGAAUGCUGAGGGUGCAGACACUGUAUCCUCUACAACUAAAGGCAAGACUACAGAGAAACCAGCAUCUGGUGCCAGCUCGGAUGGACUAUCUGUAAUACAGUUGCUGAUGGCCUUGAUUCCUGCUCUUCUCUGCCAAGCGUUUUAGCACCCAACACAAAUCAUUCAAGAAAGUAUUCCUGGUGUGAAGUAUUCAGAGGAAUAUAGCCUACAUCUUUGGAUCAUGAAGAAUGUGAAGAGUCUGAGACAGAACCAAGAGAUUGGCAUGUGUUGUAAAAAAAUGGUCACAGCUAGUUAAAAUUGGAUCCAUCAAAUGACCUGAAAUUGUAAAAUCACAACAAAUUAAUAAAACAAUGUUUUAAUGACA